AGCCACAGGAAGGAAGGUGCAUAGGGCAUGAUGAAAGCACAGGCAGCUGGAGGAAGGCAAGAGAGACAAUGGGAGGAACACUCAAGGCAAAGAGACCUAGAAGAAGAGCAAGGCAAAGACUGCAGCUGGAGCUCAUAGAAGGAAUCAAAAGCAGAAGCCAUGGCUUCCAAGGCAAAGGCACUGGCCAAGCCAGCAGUGGCCAAGACAGCAUUGGCCAAGCCAGCAGUGGCCAAGACAGCAGCGGCCAAGCCAGCAGUGGACAAGCCAGCAGUGGACAAACCAGCAGUGGCCAAGACAGCAUUGGCCAAGCCAACAGUGGACAAGCCAGCAGCGGACGAGCCAGCAGCAGACAAGCCAGCAGUGGACAAACCAGCAGUGGCCAAGACAGCAUUGGCCAAGACAGCAUUGGCCAAGCCAGCAGCAGCCAAGCCACCAGUGGACAAGCCAGCAGCAGACGAGCCAGCAGCAGACAAGCCAGCAGUGGACAAGCCAGCAAUGGACAAACCAGCAGCAGUCGAGCCAGCAGUGGCCAAACCAGCAGCAAUGGCAGACACAAAGGGCAAAGGUGGCAAAGCAAGAGCUAAAGAAACUGCCCAAAAGAUCCACCAGCGGACAUCAGCCAUGGCCACUAACUUCCCUUUCAACAUGGCUUCUCCCAAGAAACUGUGGACCGGUCUUCAGGUCGCUGCAGCCAUCGGUGUUAUCGUCUUUAUCAUCUCGAUCUCCAUCUAUAUCUUUUUGACGAGUGCAAACAAACUACGCUCCAUUGAAAAACCUAUGAAUCACCUGAAGCAUACAAUGUCAAUUGGAAUGAGAAAUAGAAAUAUGAACUAUGCAAACUAUGCCAGAUUGUCAAACGAAGUGGUGAAGUUACCAUCUCACAUAGAAAACACUCAGAGGGAAUACGGGGAACAGAAGAAAAAAUAUCGAGCCUUGUUCAACAAAGAGACCAAGUCUGUGAAUGGCUGGGACAUCUUUGGGAACAAUCUCUACUAUAUUUCCAAAAGCAAAAAGUCCUGGUUUGAUGCUGAGAACUUCUGCCAGUCCAGAGACUCCCACUUGGCCUCCAUCCUGACCAACGAGGAACAGAACUACAUCGCUGCUCAGAUUGUGGACCCUUUCUGGAUUGGCCUCACAGACGAAAACGUGGAAGGCCACUGGGAAUGGUCAGAUGGCUCCGAAGUGACGACAGAGGACUGGGCUGGCCGCAAGCAGAACUUCUCCAGGGACCACGAAGCAGCGGAGAAAGACUGCGCCUUCGUAGAGCAUUCCCCUGGCCACUUGCGCUAUUCCUGGAAAGACGGUAAUUGCUACGGACUCAAAAGAUGGGUUUGUAAGGAAGCCAUAACGGUCACAAAUGAUAAAUUCAACCAAGGUUUCUGAAAUGAUAUGAGGAACCAAGAUGGAAUGCUGCUGCUUUCAGUCUCCAGCUUUCAUAGGUGCCUGCCCACAACUCAUGGAAUAAACCUGGUCCAUGCAACCUCCACAGAG